rnacentral:rRNA from 1 species
GUGCCAGCAGCCGCGGUAAUACGGAGGGUGCGAGCGUUGUUCGGAAUUACUGGGCGUAAAGGGCGCGUAGGCGGUUUGCUAAGUCAGAUGUGAAAGUCCACGGCUCAACCGUGGAAGUGCAUUUGAAACUGGCAGACUUGAGUACUGGAGGGGGUGGUGGAAUUCCCGGUGUAGAGGUGAAAUUCGUAGAUAUCGGGAGGAAUACCGGUGGCGAAGGCGACCACCUGGCCAGAUACUGACGCUGAGGUGCGAAAGCGUGGGGAGCAAACAGGAUUAGAUACCCCCGUAGUCC